CCUACGGGGGGCUGCAGUGGGGAAUAUUGGACAAUGGGGGGAACCCUGAUCCAGCCAUGCCGCGUGUGUGAAGAAGGCCCUCGGGUUGUAAAGCACUUUCAGUGAGGAAGAACGCCUGGUGGUUAAUACCCAUCAGGAAAGACAUCACUCACAGAAGAAGCACCGGCUAACUCCGUGCCAGCAGCCGCGGUAAUACGGAGGGUGCGAGCGUUAAUCGGAAUUACUGGGCGUAAAGCGCGCGUAGGUGGCUUGAUAAGCCGGUUGUGAAAGCCCCGGGCUCAACCUGGGAACGGCAUCCGGAACUGUCAAGCUAGAGUGCAGGAGAGGAAGGUAGAAUUCCCGGUGUAGCGGGGAAAUGCGUAGAGAUCGGGAGGAAUACCAGUGGCGAAGGCGGCCUUCUGGACUGACACUGACACUGAGGUGCGAAAGCGUGGGUAGCAAACAGGAUUAGAUACCCGAGUAGUC
rnacentral:rRNA from 1 species